rnacentral:rRNA from 1 species
UACGAGGGGGGCAAGCGUUGUUCGGAAUUAUUGGGCGUAAAAGGUGCGUAGGCGGUUUGGUAAGUCUGAUGUGAAAUCUAUGGGCUCAACUCAUAGUCUGCAUCGGAAACUGCCGGGCUUGAGUGUGGGAGAGGUGAGUGGAAUUCCUGGUGUAGCGGUGAAAUGCGUAGAUAUCAGGAGGAACACCUGUGGCGAAAGCGGCUCACUGGACCAUAACUGACGCUGAUGCACGAAAGCGUGGGGAGCGAACAGG